CUCCAGGGCGUGGCUUGCAACAAUAAACCUUGGUUACUCAAUAGCCUAAGGUUGUUCCUAAUGUUACCUUCUUCUGGGGAAUGACAGUCUAAGGAAAGAAAGUGAACAUGAAGCCUGAGUGAUUUUAGCCCUGACCCAUCAAGCCCCAUUCUUCCACCUAACUCCAAAUGGACAGAAUAAAAUAAUUGGAAGGCCAACCCACUUCAACACAGGUUUCAAGCGGGG